GCAGCUGCCGGACACCAGGAGACGAUGGAAGGUCUAUAGUGUUACAGCUCUGACCCAGGAAGUCCCAGGGUCUUGCCUUCCAGAAGGGUCGCGGCUCUUCCCUCCCUCAGUCCAACGAACAGGAGCACGUCACCUCCCGCAGCUCGGGGAGCUGGCCAGGAACGUGUUACAGCCCGUUUCGCUCCUGUCCGCAGCUGGGUGAGGCAGCCAGGAAAAUAUUACAGCUCUUCUCACGCCCGCCAUUCAGCAGGUCCUGACUUCUUGUGUGACAUCCAGAAGAAAGGGGUUACACAGACAGCUGGAGGGUGAGCAAAGUGGAGAAGUUCUCAGCAGAGAGGAGACUGGAGUGAGUUGCCCCUACCCGCAGGUGCCAACUGUAAUACAUCAGUAGCUGAACAGCUCAUUGCCCUCAAGUGUUCUUGCUCAUGCCUGGCUGAGUUAUUGAAGAAAUUGCUCAGAUCUCAAGCCCUUGUAGAUCACUGGUCCUGGCAGAUGUUAUGGGGAACUCGCUAUGUUGCCCAGGCUGGUCUUGAACUCAUGGUCUCAGGCAGUCCUCCUGCCUCAGCUUCCCAAAGUGCUGGAAUUACAGAUACGUGAACAGAAAAGCCUGAACUAGGGAACUGACCAUGAAACUAAAAAGGAGAAAGCAUAUGCAAGUGGACACAAUAUGAGAAAUAAAGAAAACAAGAAAAGCAAGGGAAAGGAGAGAAAAAAGGAGGGAUACAGCAAGAGGGAGAAAGAAAAGGACGAGAAAAUAAAUUACUAAAGGGAGAAAAGAAAAAGAAAAAAGAAAAAGCAGAGAAGAAGUUAAUCCCCUGGUGAAUUUUUCACAGGCUAUCUGGAACUCAAAAGUUCAAUCUUUAUCCAUCUAUCACUAAGUCAACUUCUGGAACCUCUUCUUCUAGAACCAGUUAGGGAAGCCACUGAAGGAGGGUUAUAGGACAAAAUAUAUGUUGGUGUGAACUUUAAAAAAAGAAUUUGUGUUUAAGGAUGAAACUGUAAUGGUUUUGAAAUUGCACUAACCACAUUUGAUUUGAGCUGAAUCAAAAGUAGAAAAAUCAGCAAAUUCUACAUAAAAAACUAAGGAAGAGGAAGAAGAUCCAACUUAGAAAAUCCAGUGGAAUAAUAAUUCCAUUAGUAAGAUAACGAUACAGAGAGAUGAUGACACUGGAGUUUUCAGAGAGCAUUGAGGCAAUAUGUAGCUAUGGAAUUUGAAAAAAAAAAUGGUUCAUUUUUGGAAGAUUACUACAACAGUCAUGUUAGAUUAAUUGAAAUGAAGGUUGGUGUUAUAAGGCUUUAAAAAUAGUCCAACUGGAAAUACGAAAGCUUGAAAAGCAGCUUUGAAAAACAAAGACAGAGGGGAAAGGGAUGAAGAGAAAUACAACUGAGAUUUAAGAUAUAAAAUAACUGAAAUCUGGAACUAAUCAACUGUGAAAAUCAAGCAACGAGAAAGAGUUGUAAAUUAUUUUAAAAUAUCUGGCUCGAUCAACUUUGCCAGUUUUAGAGCCAGUCUUUGCAAAAAGGGAGAAACAAAACAGAUGAGACAAGAAAGGAACAUCCAGCAUGCUGUGAACCCCCUGAGACUGGCCAUGAUCUGAAAGAGUAAAGCUCUAUCCAGGGAACCUUUUCUGAAUCAUAGUGUCAGACUUCCUGCUCUUUUCAACUCCCCUGGUUUUAUCAUCUCUACUCUGUUUCAGCAAUCUACUGCCAUGGCCACAUCCUGAAUGUUGACAAUACCCUAAACUGUGCCAUUUAUAAGAUCUCUGACACACCAACCUCUCUCCUCUUACAGCUCUCAAUGAUGUAUAUGACCUCAGCUUAUUCUAAUAUGCUUACAGAUUAUACACCCGUGAUAUUGAUGGCAGUGGCUGCUGCUGUCGUGGCUGCUGCUAUCACGCCUGCUGCAACACAGAGGUGCGACUGGGGCUGCACAUUUCACGGAGGUGUUGGGAGUUCCGCCCCUUCUGAUGUGGGGAAAGAGAUCCCCAGGUGCCCCUGCAUCUGCCCAAACUGUGGCUGUGGAUCGGAGGCUCCAGGUUGGCAGGUUGGGAGCUUCCGGGUGCAGCUGCGACCGCCCUCCCAGGUGCAGGACCCUGGUGUUUCUGCAGCCUGCACCCUUGGGGGCCCCAGGAAAGACCCAUAUCCUUGCAGGCUUGGAGGUGUUUGCUUCUUCUGCCUGGCCUCUCUCGGCUCCCGGUGCAUGCUCUCAUAUCUGAGUGGGGGUUGGUGCUGAGCCCCGGGGCCGUGAAUUGCAGCAGGAGGCAGAUUUAUUCCUGGGCAGAAGGUGGCAGAUCCCAAGUAAGGGGACCUUCAAGCCAGGGAGGGCCUGAAGGCUGGUGGCUGGGCUACCAGUCCCACCGACCAGAGUGGGGAUUCGUGGGCCUCUUCUGGGCCACCCAUAGCCACCCAUGGACCAAUCAGCAAGCACAUCCUCCCCUCUGAGGUCCGUAAAAGCCCUGGGCGCAGCCUGAGCAGGGCAGAGGAAGGCCAGAGGUGAAGGAGUCAGAGAGGCGACAGGAUAGGCAGCUGCCGAGAGAAGUACGCCUCUCUGCUGAGACCUGGAGAUGACGGGAAGGCCAGAUGCAGAGAGGAGCUACCCUCUCUGCUUAGAGCUGCCAGGAGGAGCUACCAACCUUCUCUGCUGAGAGCUGCAGAGAUGACCUGCUGGCAGAGAGGAGCUACCCACUGCGGGUCUCCUCUGAUCUGUUGUAAUGCUGAAUAAAGCUUCUUUUCAUCUUGUUCACCUUCCACUUGUCUGCAUACCUCAUUCUACCCGGACGCAAGCAAGAACUCGAGCAAAGGCACAACCAGCCACAGAGGUUUCUGGCCAGAAAAUCGACACCCCAAAAGUCCUAUAACAAUCUGAUUCUAAAAGCAACAUCAUCUUUUCAAUGUAAUUCUAAAAGAAUUUGGGAUUAUUUUAUUUAAUUUCAGGAUCCCCUCUGAAGAAAAUCAACUUACAAAGGAUGGCAGGUCUUAAGAAAGGUACUUAGCAAGUGCUGGUACAUUCUAAGCAAUCAAUAUUUGUCAAUGUUCAGUAAUUGUACAAUUGUACUAGAGAAAACAAUUCCAGGGGCUUAAAAUUAUCUUAUACAAGGAUCCACUUUAUUAUUAUUUUUUCUGUUUGUUUUGGAUAAAUUACUGACUCCUUAUCUCAGUUAUGUUAUGUGUUAAAUGUUUACAGUGUUAUUUUGUAUCUCUCAAGGGCUUUUGUUAGAAUUUUCAAUGAGAUACCUUAAAACCUCUAAAAAGAAAAUGGAUGUUAUAAGUAAAUAAAAAUAAGUCUGAAUGGC
rnacentral:lncRNA from 1 species